AACGUAGGUGGCGAGCGUUAUCCGGAUUUACUGGGCGUAAAGCGUGUGCAGGCGGACGGGCAAGUGGUGUAUGAAAGCUCCAGGCUUAACCUGGAGAGGUUAUGCCAGACUGCACGUCUUGAGGCAGAGAGAGGGACAUGGAAUUCCGGGUGUAGUGGUGAAAUGCGUAGAGAUCCGGAGGAACUCCAGAGGCGAAGGCGGUGUCCUGGCUCUGACCUGACGCUCAGACACGAAAGCAUGGGGAGCGAACGGG
rnacentral:rRNA from 1 species